GAACUACAACUUCCAUUUUUUUCCAGCUCGGCAAAACAUUUAAAAAGAAGUUCCGGAUGUUAUCUUAUGAAAACUGCAUACUUUCGCCUUCAUUAAAUGCUCUGAAACAAAAAGGAUGCAGUAUUACAGGAUGUGUUAGCUCAGGUUUCUUUUUUUUUUUCUUUUCGAGAAGCUGCAGUGGAUGGGAUCAUUAGUUUCUUUCUGGUUUUCGGGACCUGUUCAGUCAUAAAGACAUAAGAAGAAAACAUAAUUGAGAUGUCCACAUUUUAAGUGCUACCUUUGUCACCUCACUUAUCUAACAAGUUAAAAACGUUCAUUUAAAUUACCUGCUGGGAGUUUUUUUUUUUUUUUCCUUCAGGCUUUUAGUUUGGGUUGGGAAAGAAUGAACUGGAUUGAGGUUCUGAUAAAACAACUGAUUGAAAUGAGUGAAGGGGAAAUAAGUAUUUAAAUAAUUCAGAGAGGGCAUAAUUAAGUGUUUCAGUUCAAAGGCACAACAAAGAUUUUUUUUUUUUUUUUUUUUUUGUAAUUUAAGCUUGAAAUGUAAAAGAGACGCAGAUUCUUCAGAGAUGAGAACUUUGUGUUGAGUCACUUGAUUUGGUCUCUUUCCUCCAUCAAACAGUGAGGCAACGCUCUUGGAGAUCUCCAGAGAUAACAAUGUCACAUUGUCACAUAGGGUUCUGCUACAAAUCCUUAAUUACAAAAAAGAGGAUCAGAUGACUACAGCAUCCAAUACUGGGGUCUCCAGGCGGCAUGGGGGUCUUUGAUCAAGAAAAUCCAAUUAUUUGUGUAUAUACAUUUCCCACAUAGUGAUUACUUCAUUAAUUGUCCCGCCUUUAUCUCCUCCCUUCCCAGCCCCCCUAAUAAUCAGCUCCUUUAUCCAGACCAACAAACACACCAUAGGAGCUUUGUGGAUUCAAAGGAUUUGCUUUCCCCUCUCAAAGAGCCGCUAUUCUUUGAUGAUUGGGCAGCGGCAAACUUCAAAGUAAUAAAUCUUAUUUCUGACUGGCUGGCGGCCCACCAAAGUCCUUAUCAAAUUCUAAGAAGUGAUCCCUCACUCUUCAGAUAGACCAAGGAUAUAUCGGAGAGAGGAAGCACUGGAGAGUGACGCCCUGCUCGACAAGAUAUAUUUUUUGUGUAC
ensembl:lncRNA